rnacentral:sRNA from 2 species
UAAUACUUCAUUGGGGAGUAGCCGCUAUUUACGCAAAGUAAAUAGGUGAUGAUCAACAUAAUUGUUCAACAGAACAUGGUCAUCAUAGCAAAGAACAAUGUCGCUUUCUUUUAAGCAACCUUUUGUUGGCAAGACCUUUGAU